CAUGCACUGGUGUUUGAGAAGUGGCUUCUGCAGCUUGAUCCUUUCAUGGUCUUCCUCUUUUCCUAACCUGCAAGUAGCACAAAGAAGUUAGCAAAGUCAUUAAGACUCAUGUAGGAAUUUAAGUCAUCUUAGGUUAUAUGUUUUACACAUACUAGGAGCUUCGGAGGUCUAGAUCCUUCAGACUGGUCAUUGUGCUUGUAUGUUCUCUUAUUAUGGCCAUAUUGGCCACAGGCCUUGCAUUUCAUUUGUAAUCCAAUCCUAGCUAGCUUGUUGCUAUUGGUAGAUUCAUCU
rnacentral:lncRNA from 1 species